UACGUAGGGCGCAAGCGUUGUCCGGAAUUAUUGGGCGUAAAGAGCUCGUAGGCGGUUUGUCGCGUCUGUCGUGAAAGCUUGGGGCUUAACCCCAAGUCUGCGGUGGAUACGGGCAGACUAGAGGCAGGUAGGGGAGAACGGAAUUCCCGGUGUAGCGGUGAAAUGCGCAGAUAUCAAGAGGAACACCUGAGGUGAAGACGGGUUGCUGGGCUGACACUGACGCUGAGGCGCGAAAGCUAGGGGAGCAAACGGG
rnacentral:rRNA from 1 species